GGUUUGAUCAUGGCUCAGAUUGAACGCUGGCGGAAUGCUUUACACAUGCAAGUCGAACGGCAGCACGGGGGCAACCCUGGUGGCGAGUGGCGAACGGGUGAGUAAUAUAUCGGAACGUGCCCAGUCGUGGGGGAUAACGUAGCGAAAGUUACGCUAAUACCGCAUACGAUCUACGGAUGAAAGCGGGGGAUCGCAAGACCUCGCGCGAUUGGAGCGGCCGAUAUCAGAUUAGGUAGUUGGUGGGGUAAAGGCUCACCAAGCCAACGAUCUGUAGCUGGUCUGAGAGGACGACCAGCCACACUGGGACUGAGACACGGCCCAGACUCCUACGGGAGGCAGCAGUGGGGAAUUUUGGACAAUGGACGCAAGUCUGAUCCAGCCAUUCCGCGUGAGUGAAGAAGGCCUUCGGGUUGUAAAGCUCUUUCGCAAGGGAAGAAAACUUAUGAUCGAAUAAAUCAUGAGGUUGACGGUACCUUGAUAAGAAGCACCGGCUAACUACGUGCCAGCAGCCGCGGUAAUACGUAGGGUGCGAGCGUUAAUCGGAAUUACUGGGCGUAAAGCGUGCGCAGGCGGUUUUGUAAGUCGGAUGUGAAAUCCCCGGGCUCAACCUGGGAACUGCGUUCGAAACUGCAAGGCUAGAGUGUGUCAGAGGGGGGUAGAAUUCCACGUGUAGCAGUGAAAUGCGUAGAGAUGUGGAGGAAUACCAAUGGCGAAGCAGCCCCCUGGGAUAACACUGACGCUCAUGCACGAAAGCGUGGGGAGCAAACAGGAUUAGAUACCCUGGUAGUCCACGCCCUAAACGAUGUCAACUAGUUGUUGGUAGAGUAAAAUCUAUGAGUAACGUAGCUAACGCGUGAAGUUGACCGCCUGGGGAGUACGGUCGCAAGAUUAAAACUCAAAGGAAUUGACGGGGACCCGCACAAGCGGUGGAUGAUGUGGAUUAAUUCGAUGCAACGCGAAAAACCUUACCUACCCUUGACAUGUCACUAACGAAGUAGAGAUACAUUAGGUGCCCGUAAGGGAAAGUGAACACAGGUGCUGCAUGGCUGUCGUCAGCUCGUGUCGUGAGAUGUUGGGUUAAGUCCCGCAACGAGCGCAACCCUCACUUUUAGUUGCCAUCAUUAAGUUGGGCACUCUGAAAGAACUGCCAGUGAUAAGCUGGAGGAAGGUGGGGAUGACGUCAAGUCCUCAUGGCCCUUACGUGUUGGGCUACACACGUGCUACAAUGGUAUCUACAACAGGAAGCAAAACUGCGAAGUUAAGCAAAUCCCUAAAAGAUACCUCAGUUCGGAUUGCACUCUGCAACUCGAGUGCAUGAAGCUGGAAUUACUAGUAAUCGUGGAUCAGCGUGCCACGGUGAAUGCGUUCCCGGGUCUUGUACACACCGCCCGUCACACCAUGGGAGUUGGUUCUACCUUAAG
rnacentral:rRNA from 1 species